UGCGUAGGUGGUGGGGUAAGUCGGAUGUGAAAUCUCCGAGCUCAACUCGGAAAGUGCAUUGGAAACUACCCUGCUCGAGGGUUGGAGGGGGGACUGGAAUACUUGGUGUAGCAGUGAAAUGCGUAGAUAUCAAGUGGAACACCAGUGGCGAAGGCGAGUCCCUGGACAACUCCUGACACUGAGGCACGAAAGCUAGGGGAGCAAACA
rnacentral:rRNA from 1 species